rnacentral:snRNA from 1 species
CGCAACGUUGUAAACCAAAUUCGUGAAGCGUUCCAUAUUU